rnacentral:lncRNA from 13 species
UGAAAUUUGGCUUUUGUUUUAAGUUUUUAAGCCUUAAAAGAAUCAUUUGGGCUCUUCAGUGAAGAAUGGAUUAAGUGAUAAUAGGUAGCCAUUCAUCUGCCGAAUGGAAGUGUUGAGGUCAUCUCCAGCUCUAAGGUUUUGUGAUUCCAAUAGGAAAAUAUGUUAUUCUUGUUUAGAGACCUGGACACCAUCUGUGAUUUUUGGAUGAAGACCUAGAUGAGUUCAAAGGCCUGAAGAACCAGGGGCGCCACUGUGUAAAUCUGUUACCAAACCAAACUGGGAUCUGCUCACCCGGUGCUGUAAGGCCCAACAUCUACAUGAAAGUUUGCAGAGGGAGAAAGGAGGGGCCCAAGCGUGAAGAAUUGGGCAGCUUAUGCUUGAGACAUGACCCCCCUGAUGGCUUAUGCUGGUUUCCCAAUUGGGCAUCAUUCCUGCCACACCCAUAGCCUUCAACAGUGAUUCUCAAACGUGUGGUCCCAAGAC